UGGGGAAUAUUGGACAAUGGGCGCAAGCCUGAUCCAGCAAUGCCGCGUGUGUGAAGAAGGCCUGCGGGUUGUAAAGCACUUUCAAUAGUGAAGAAAAGUUUAGUGUAAAUAAUGCUAAGCUGUGACGUGAUCUAUAGAAGAAGCACCGGCUAACUCCGUGCCAGCAGCCGCGGUAAUACGGAGGGUGCGAGCGUUAAUCGGAAUCACUGGGCGUAAAGCGUGCGUAGGCGGCUCAUUAAGUCAGAUGUGAAAGCCCAGGGCUUAACCUUGGAAUUGCAUCUGAUACUGGUGAGCUAGAGUUUGAGAGAGGGAAGCAGAAUUUCCGGUGUAGCGGUGAAAUGCAUAGAGAU
rnacentral:rRNA from 1 species